rnacentral:rRNA from 1 species
CAGAGGGUGCGAGCGUUAAUCGGAAUUACUGGGCGUAAAGGGUGCGUAGGUGGUUUAGUAAGUUGGAUGUGAAAUUCCUGGGCUUAACCUGGGGACUGCGUCUGAUACUGCGAAGCUAGAGUACUGUAGAGGUAAGUGGAAUUUCCGGUGUAGCAGUGAAAUGCGUAGAUAUCGGAAGGAACAUCAGUGGCGAAGGCGGCUUUCUGGACAGAUACUGACACUGAGGCACGAAAGCGUGGGGAGCAAACAGGAUUAGAUACCCCGGUAGUCCAUGCUGUAAACGAUGAAGACUGGCUGUUGGUUGCCCUUGGGCAAUUAGUAGCGAAGCAAACGCGUUAAGUCUUCCGCCUGGGGAGUACGGCCGCAAGGUUA